rnacentral:piRNA from 1 species
UCAGUAACGUCUCUUUUUCCU